CUAUUGGAGGCGAGCCGCCGCGGUCGGACUCGCAGUAGCUGCGUCUUCCGCGCCUCCUGCCUUUGCCGCCCCGUGACGGCCCCUGUGCGGGGGUGGGGCUGCUCGCGCCUGCUGCCACGGGCGUUGCCCCCGUCGCCCCUGCCUCGGAGCGGGAGGGGGGCUUCUGCGCAGGCGCGUUGGGAGGCCGCACGCGCUCCGCUGGCGGGGGGCGUGAGGGGCGGGCGUUGUCGCGUGCCGCGGGGGCCGUUAGCUGCCCUAACGGCUCUCAGGCGAGAGCCGAGAGGAAGGGGCUGCCUGCGCCGCUGCUGCAAGGCGGAGCGGGCGCCUCGUUGUCCGGCUGGAGUGGCUCGAGCGUGACGAGGGGUUGUCCCCGCUGAGGUGACGGGUUUCUCCCCGCGCGGCGUGGGCACGGCUCGCCACGGGCCUCUCUUCCCCGGGGCGGGCAGCCUCUGCCCGAGCGCUGGUCGGGGGCGGGCGCGGCAGUGGCUCGUACCUCCUCGUUACCUGUUGGCCUGGCUCCGGUCCUUACUAAUUCCUGAUUCCCACGAGGAGAGGAAGGGAAGUGUGAUCUGUCCGGUUUGAGUUCUUGGUUACAAAGUUCAGACCACAGAAACAAGGUGCUGACGACGGGAGAUGCUCUGCUGGACCAGUUAAAGCCAAGUAACUGGUUCUAACUGCUAGUUACAGCCAAGGAACUGGUUGGGGGUGUGAAGGUGGGGCAGCCUUGGCUGCAGUGACCAUGAGAUAGUAAGAGUUCAGGAUCCUGAGAGACAGGAGCAAGGCAAAUAAGAGGAUCACAGCUCUGGAUUCAGAAGAUCAGACUUUGGCCUAUUCAGGAACCUGCUUGGAGGAAUCCCAUGGGAAACAGUCCUGGAGAGAAGAAGCGUCCAGGAAAGCUGGUUGAUAUUCAAGGAUCACCUCCUCCAAGCUCAAGAAUGGUGCAUUCCAACAAGCAGGAAGUCAGGCAAAGGUGGCAAGAAGUCUGCAUGGAUGAACACGUAACUCCUGACUAAACUCAAACAUAAAAGUGGAGCAUACAAGGAGUGGAAGCAGGGACAAGUGACUUAGGAGGAAUACAGAGACAUUCUCCAAGCAUGCAGGGACAGGGCUAGGAAAGCCAAAGCCUGCCUGGAGCUGAAUCUGAUGAUGUACACGAAGGGCUACAAGAAGGGCUUCUACAGAUAUACCAGCAUCAAAAGGAAGGCUAGGGGAAAUGUGGGCCCGCUGCGGAAAGGAACAGGGGAUAAAAGCAGAUGGAGAAGGCCAAGGUAUUCAGUGCCUUCUUUGCCUUGUUUUUUACUGGAAAGACUUGCCUUUAGCAAUCCCAGACCCCUGAGGCCCAUGGGAAAAUCUGGAGCAAGGAAAACUUACCCUUGGUGGUGGAAGCUCAGGUUAUGGGACAUUUUAAACAGAUUGGAUAUACACAAAGUCCAUGGGAUCUGGUGAGAGACACCCAUGAGUACUGAGGGAGCUAGCUGAUGUCAUCGUGAAACCACUCUCAAUUAUCUUCAAAAGGUCAUGGUGAUCGGGUAGGUUCCUGAGCACUGGAGGAAACCAAAUGUCACUUCAGUCUUCCAACAGGGCAAGAAGGAGGACCUAGCGAACUACAGGUUGUUCAGCCUUUCCUUGAUCUCUGGAAAGGUGACAGAGAAAAUCCUCCUGGAAACUGUCUUGAAACAUAUGAAGGACAAGAGGUGACUGGGAGCAGUGAGCAUGAAUUUACAAAGGGGAAAUCACACCUGCCCAACCUGAUAGCCUUCCACUAUGAGAUGAUUAGCUCGGUGGAUGAGGUGAGAGCCGAUAUUAUUUAUUUUGGCUUUAACAUGUCUUUUGACACUGUGUCCCAUAACAUCCUCAUAGACAAGCUGAUGAAGUAUGGACUAGAUAAGCGGACAGUGAGGUGGACUGAAAAUGGGCUGAACUGCUGGACUGAAAGGGUGGUGAUCAGCUGUACAAAAAUCAUCUGGAGACCAGUCACUAGUGGUGUACCCUGGGGUCAAUACUGGGUCCAGUUCUGUUUAACAUACCCCUCAAUGACCUGGAUGAUGGAACUUUGUUCUCUCUUACUGACAAGAUAAUCAAUAGCACAUCAGAUUUUUCUGUUGUUGCAAGGGGUCCCCUUAUCUGCUCCUCCCGUGCCUAGUGAUUGCAGGAGGGGGGAAGAAUGCACAGGAUUCAGUGAAAAUGUCACUGUGUAGGGAAACACGUGGGUGCUGUCCUUGCCAUAUCAUUGCAGUAUGGUGCAACUUACACAGAGAAUACUUACCUACUUCUUACAUUAUCUUCUCAUUACCUGAGAAGAUUAUGGCAGGUUCCGGCCACAUAUAUUAUCCCAAGACAUACUCAGCUUGUAGAUCUGGCGCACACAGACGCAAAUCGUAUCGGCUCCCUCUGAGGCUAAGAGGAGGCAACCAAGGAAAACGAGGGAUGCCUCCUGCACCCACAUCCUUUAUUGCACGGUGCCAUGGCUUGGGAAUGACAGAGUGCCAGGCAACUGCAGCUCAGGUGUGUUAUGCACAGCUGUAGUAUGUAUAACCACUUUCCUGUUAUGGUCUGAUUUGUUUUUGUGCAUUAAAUACUUUGUCUGAUGGAAUUUUAUGAGACUUUAUUACUACAAUAAAAGACUUGGGUGAAACAA